ensembl:lncRNA
CUAUCUGGCUUUUUUGCCUCACAUGUUCUUAUGAAAUGUUUUAGGUUUUCAUGUACAGUAUAUUUAUUUAUUUAUUUUAAAUUCUGUCCAUUCAUUGUCCUGAAACUGGUGAUACAAGGCUCAGUAUUUAUUUUUCCAUAUGCACUUGCAUAGAUGCUGUUCACUUUGGCUGAUGUAGUGGCUGUGUAGAGAAUGACCUGCUUCCUUCUCCCUCAUCCCCUUCUAAUGCAGCCUCCUGGCGUCCUUACUAACGGCGUGCUCGACUUUGACCCCCCCGCUAAGGUCCACCCUCUUCUCCCUGCAGACGGGGGAGCAGCUCUCACCCCAGUCCUCCCCCACCUCGCUCACACACGUAACACGAUCUCUGCCAGCACUGUGGGUCGGCAGCCAGCCUCGGACGAUGGAGCCAAACCCAGAGGUCUCCUGACCACUGAGCUCUGAUGGAGAAAUGAGGAGGAGCCAUCACAACAUUCAAAUCCCUGAUCGCUUCCCCACCUCACCCCCUCACCCAUCCACACACAAGACAAGCUGGGCCAGGUGUGCUGAACACUGAGGGCUAAGAGGAAAGUGGAACCAGGGAAGAGGCAGCUUACAAACACCACAAACUUAAUUUCACCAACACUGACAAACAGAGUGAACAAACUGAACUAAGUACACAGGAAAAUAUUAGAAAUAUAUGAUUACAGUUUUUCAUAACAUGACACAAAUACUAGUUUUUGUAGAACAGUUAAAACAAACAUGUAGCUCCAGUAUUGUCAUCUUAAGAACACCUAACUUGUGAAUCUCCUGUAUGAGUUCACUGUCAAUGACCUGCAAUUUACUUAAUCCAUCCAGUCGACCAAACCUCAGUCUCUCAUAACACCUAGCACCAUCUCCUUGUAGAUGACAAGUGAUGAAAAGUCUUGUUAUUCAACUUGUUUGCUACAAAGGGCAAGUUGGGACUGACACAAGAGAAUGGCAUGACACAGUAAGGUACGUUGCGUAAAAGCAUGAGGCUUACGACUCCAAGAGUAGGUUGUCUCUUUUAGUGCUGCUUUCCUCCCCCAUUUUUGAAUCUUCACUGGUUAUUCACACCACUGGAACUUUGCUACUCUGAGCUUUUGUGUACACGCACAGAUCACACAGCAUGCAGAGAUGCUGAAGUACACUGGAUGAAGGACUAAAAAGAAAAACCUAUUAGAAGAAAAAAAAAGAAAGAUAGUGACUAAAAAUGUUGAUUCUAAGAGAUAAAAAGCCCUGGACUCUUAACAUGAUGAAACGUGGAUAUGAUACUGUACUGUCCUUGUAGCACACUACAAACAAAGGUUUUUAAAAACCUAGUCACUACUACAUGUCAGUCUUCUGUUGGCAGCCACUGGAUAUGAAAACUUUACUGGAUUAGUUUUUGCAACACUGGACCUUAAAAUCUUUUUUUUUGUGCAAUGGAUGACAAUAGAGAUGACUACAUUGGUUUUUCAACUGAUGUUUUUAUUAUCCUGCUCUUACUUUUUUAAUGUUUUAAUAUUUUGAGAGAAAGAUGACUACACAAUGAUAAAGUUGAAGUUUUACCAUUUUGUCCAAAAUGUGAUCCUAUAUGUUUUUAUUUGAAAUCACUGCCUCUACCUGUGACAGAUUUCUCAUUCACACUACUUUUAACUUCUAUGUUGGCUAGGUAAAUGCAAAAGGCGUCUCAAUUGCUGUCAAAACCUUUUAACAACUAUGAUCCCUGGAGGUGGACACUGUUUCCACUUUUUGGAGUACAUAUACUGUUUUCACGAAGCCAGAGUUUUAAAUUUCGAUGUAAUACUAGUAUAAAGAAAUGAGGCAACAGGAUACUUCAAUACCAAGGCAACAGGAUAAUUCUUUUAUUUACCUUUUUUGUUAUUAACAACCUGCACACAGUGCUGUUACAGAAAAAAAUCACUAAACAUAUACCAACACAUUUGUAAAAAUGUAAAACCUCAAUUAACAUUGUUGUUACUAUUCUUAAAUGUGUUCACUACCUUGCAGGCCUACACAUUCUAUGUCAUUAUUGCUUUUAGUAGUUUUUAAUUUUUGUGAUGCUUCACUUGUUUAUGUUGCUGGAGAGAAUGCCAUAACAGCCACAGGUUGAGGACCAGUUUAUUUUCUUUACCGUUGUUUCAUCUGUGCAGCCUUGGGCUGAAAAUCUCAUUGUUGAUCUGUCUUUUUUUUAUAUAGCUUCGGUACUUUCAAUGCUAUCAAAUGUAUAAUUUACAGAGAUCGUAUCGUUUUAAACACGUAUCAAAGUAUCGACACUUUUGACAACCUUUUUAUUACCUAACUGGAUAUCUGAAUUCAUUUUAGACAGCAGACUGACCUUGUUAUACAGUAGAACAUGGCUCCUGGUAUUAACAUGCUGCAGUUACUACCCUGCCUUAUAGAAAUUAAUGUAUUCAAAUAGUCUCAUCUGAGAAUGCUGGAGAUGCCACAGAAUAAAAAGGUGUACAAGUUGUUACAUUCUCAAUUGCUGUUACAGUUUGUAACCGGAGGAAAACCUGUGAAAAAAUGAUGUUAAAAUCAGAUUUUGUACAUGUGAAAUUGAGGCCUAAUUCUACAUGCUAUUUUUGAGUUAUUAAUUAAGUAUACUACAUUGACUCUUAAAAGAAAGACUUGCAUUUUUUUUUCAUCUCAUUACCCCAGCCAACGUAAGUCUGGACCCUCAUUCAAGUUAUGUCUGUAGUUUUUUCAUCAUAUUUCAUUCUUGAACAAGGGAAGCUUAGCAGUGACAGUUAUUUAUGCUAGCUACUACUCAGUGUAAUUGUUCAAAUAUUACAUGUUGUCCAAAAGUGUUGUAGCGUACAGUUAUGAUGUAUUGUCAGUAUAAUGGCAUCAGCUGGCUGUAGAUAUGAAGUAGAUUUAUAUAUAUUUUUUGAAAAUUAUGUUGGCAGUAUUGUUACUACACAGUGAGAAGAUUUCUGCAUUGAGGUGUUUUCUAAUUACAAAAGAAGUAGGAAACUGACUGGAAAAAACAGAUUGUGACGUCUCAAAUGCAAUUUUAUAUAAACUUAUUUUUUUCUGGAAUACCUGAUCAUGAUUCAGUAAAGCUUUGCUACAGUAGGAGUCAAAUGUUUUUCUUCUUUUUUACUGUUUGAAUGUUGAAAUGAUUUGCACGGAAAGGUUAUCCUAUUCACUACUGUGCUGUGCUGUGGGUGUUAAAACAAUAACCUGGAUCACACUUGCGUAGGUAAAACGAAAAUAAUCCAAUUUUGCAGUCCUGUUUAAAUUCACUUGCUCUGUGAGACGUAAAGCUCUUGUAUCUGUAUCAGAAAUGUAGCAAUAACAACUGACUCAGCAGAAGUCUG